rnacentral:lncRNA from 1 species
UCUAUUUUAUUUUAUUUUAUUUUAUUUUUAAUAUAUGUAUAGGAUUAAUAAUAUUAUUUGUAUAUCAACAAAAUGUAAUCCAAAUUUUAUGAAAAAGAAAUUAGUCAAUGUGUUGUCACGGACACAAAAUACAGACUUGAAAUCUAACAAGAAGUUCAAGAAGAAGUGGCAGAACUAGAUUAAACAGAUGAGUACAAGAACAACACAAGAAAGGUGAGCUAGAACUCCAAGAGAUGUGUUGU